rnacentral:rRNA from 1 species
UACGUAGGGACCGAGCGUUGUCCGGAAUCAUUGGGCGUAAAGAGCGUGUAGGCGGCCUGAAAGGUCAGCUGUGAAAACUCGGGGCUCAACCCCGAGACGUCGGUUGAAACCAUCUGGCUAGAGUCCGGAAGAGGAGUGUGGAAUUCCCGGUGUAGCGGUGAAAUGCGCAGAUAUCGGGAAGAACACCCGUGGCGAAGGCGGCACUCUGGGACGGUACUGACGCUGAGACGCGAAAGCGUGGGGAGCGAACAGG